rnacentral:rRNA from 1 species
GUCCGAUUAGUUGUGGCGGGUAACGGCCCACCAAGCCAUUGAUCGGUACGGGUUGUGGAGCAAGAUCCCGGAGAUGGAUUCUGAGACAUGAAUCCAGGCCCUACGGGGCGCAGCAGGCGCGCAAACUUUACAAUGCGAGCAAUCGUGAUAAGGAAACCCUGAGUGCCUGUCGAUGCAGGCUGUUCAUAUAUCUAAAUCAUAUGUGAAGAAAGGGCAGGGCAAGACCGGUGCCAGCCGCCGCGGUAAUACCGGCUGCUCGAGUGAUGGCCACUAUUACUGGGUUUAAAGCGUCCGUAGCUUGACUGUUAGGUCUCUUGGGAAAUCUUCGCGCUCAACGUGAAGGCGUCUAAGAGAUACCGGCAGUCUUGGAACUGGGAGAGGUAAACCGUACUUCGGGGGUAGGAGUGAAAUCUUGUAAUCCUCGAGGGACGACCUACGGCGAAGGCAGUUUACCAGAACAGCUUCGACAGUGAGGGACGAAAGCUGGGGGAGCAAACGGGAUUAGAUACCCCGGUAGUCCCAGCCGUAAACAAUGUGCGUUAGGUGUGUCGGUAACCACGUGUUACUGAUGCGCCGAAGGGAAAUCGUGAAACGCACCACCUGGGAAGUACGGUCGCAAGGCUGAAACUUAAAGGAAUUGGCGGGGGAGCACCACAACAGGUGGAGCCUGCGGUUUAAUUGGAUUCAACGCCGG